GAAUCCUGGCGAACGACUAUAAU
rnacentral:siRNA from 1 species